UACGUAGGGUCCAAGCGUUAUCCGGAAUCACUGGGCGUAAAGCGUGUGUAGGUGGUUUGUUAAGUGAGAUGCGAAAUCUAAGGGCUCAACCCGUAGACUGUAUCUCAUACUGGCAAACUUGAGGACGGCAGAGGCAAGUGGAAUUAUCGGUGUAGCAGUGAAAUGCGUAGAGAUCGAUAGGAACACCAAUGGCGAAGGCAGCUUGCUGGGCCGCACCUGACACUCAGACACGAAAGCGUGGGGAGCGAACAGG
rnacentral:rRNA from 1 species